GCCGGAAUAGCUCAGUCGGUAGAGCAGAGGACUGAAAAUCCUCNUGUC
rnacentral:tRNA from 1 species